ACUCUCGUACACUUUCCCGGUAAAAUUAACACAGCACAUCAUGCUGCAUUGCACGCACGCAUGCAGCUGAUCAUCGACAAGUCGACGGCAAUUGCGAUGAAGAGCUCACAGGCUGGGCGUCCUCUCGGCAGCUCCGGAGAUGACGGUGAGCAGGUUGUUGCCGAAGGGGUCGCUGAGGUGCGCAGAGAGGUUCUCAACGGGGCCCUCGCCAGUGACGUAUGCCUGGAUGAAGAAACCCAGCAUGGAGAACAUGGCUAGCCGGCCGUUCUUGAUCUCCUUCACCUUGAGCAGCGCCGCCUGGUCGGGGUCGCUGGCGAG
rnacentral:lncRNA from 1 species